UACUGAAGGCCUCACUGGUGCCAAACAGGAUGUUCCUGCUAGGAAGUUCACUGACUAAAAAUGUUAUGUGCUGUCAUACCAAGCAACCAUGUGCCAAGAUUCUUGGGCUCAGAUUAACCACUGAAAGACAAUAUGGGAAAUGUGAAACAAGGUACAGAGAAGACCAGUCCUCCCCUGAAAGCCCAUCCCCUGUACGGCAGUGGCAUGGGAUGAAGCAAAUCUGAACACACAACAGACGAAGCGGGGAAGCUCGGCUAGGUUUGUGCUUGCAGAUCAAGUGUUGGGAAACCCUGGAUCAGCCAAGAAAUGCAGUACAUGUAGAUUCAAAUUCUUAAAGAAACUGAAACAUCUUUUCAUUUACAUAUACUGUUAAUUACAACAAAAAGUCUACUG